rnacentral:rRNA from 1 species
CGCGUAGGCGGUCUUUUAAGUCAGGUGUGAAAGCCCGGGGUUCAACCCCGGAAGUGCAUUUGAAACUAAGGGACUUGAGUAUGGGAGAGGGAAGUGGAAUUCCUGGUGUAGCGGUGAAAUGCGUAGAUAUCAGGAGGAACACCGGUGGCGAAGGCGACUUCCUGGACCAAUACUGACGCUGAGGCGCGAAGGCGUGGGGAGCAAACAGGAUUAGAUACCCUGGUAGUCC